UCCAGAUCUCCCUGUACUACCUGUGACAGUUCCAGAUCUCCCUGUACUACCUGUGACAGUUCCAGAUCCCCCUGUACCUGGACCCUCUGUAGCAGCCUGUCCACCUGUACGUGUACAAUCAGACCCCUUUGAUAGUGACAGCGACCCAGAUGACCCUGAGCCUUUCCAUGGUUUUGAUGCCUCGCCCUAUUCAUCAGAUCUAGAUGUUCCCUCAUCAGUUGAUACGAGUAGUAUCACCUCUCCAGAGCCCAAAUCAGUUGAUACGAGUAGUAUCACCUCUCCCAUUCCUUCAGACUCCCAAGCACCUGCCCAUCCUACUCCAUAGCCCAGCCACCCACUCAUCUACCAUAUGCCCAUCCCAGUAAGCAAGCCAACCACUAGAAUUUGACUGGCAUGCACCUGUGACUUACAUAAACCAGACCUCUACAUAGCCUACAUGUCUUCAUUUUGCUGAAGACUGCCCAUCAUCCUAGCCUGUUAUCUGUGAUAAAGCACACUGAAGUUAGGUUUGGAAUGCAUCCUUAUCAUGAAUGCUCUACACCUCCACCUCCAUCUCCCACAACCUAGGUAACAGCUUUG